rnacentral:rRNA from 1 species
AUUGAACGCUGGCGGCAGGCCUAACACAUGCAAGUCGAGCGAGCGGCGAACGGGUGAGUAAUGUAUGGGGGAUGACCGAUAGAUGGGGAUAACGCCUGGAAACGGUGGAUAAUACCGCCUACUGUCGGAUAACCCAUAGGGGAUUAGCUAGUAGGUAAGGUAAUGGCUUACCUAGGCGACGAUCCGUAGCUGGUCUGAGAGGAUGAUCAGCCACACUUGGACGGAGACACGGCCCAGACUCCUACGGAGGCAGCAGUGGGGAACAUUACACAAUGGGGGCAAGCCUGAUGCAGCCAUGCCGCGUGUAUGAAGAAGGCCCUAGGGUUGUAAAGUACGUUCAUUCGGGAGGCGUUACCGACAGAAGAAGCACCGGCUAACUCCGUGCCAGCAGCCGCGGUAAUAC